GGCUGGGUGGCCGAGCGGUCUAAGGCGGUAGACUCAAGAAAAUGCACUUUCUUCCUCGCAGAAAUGUGAGGAUCGAUUUCUACUCUCGUAAGAGGCGCGCGUUCGAAUCGCGCCCCAGUCA